CGGAUGAAGCUGAAAAAGAACCAGAGGUAGCAAAACCAAAGAAGCCUGUGAGUGCAGAUGCCGAAACUAGUAAGGGAUACCAACCUGUGGUACCCUAUCCUCAGAGAUUGGCAGCUGGCAAAAGUGGAGUUGUAAAACUUACCUUUGGAAACAUGACAUUGAAGCUGAAUAUCUUUAAUACUUGCAGGCAACCUCAGGAUUUAGAAGAAGGAACCGGGCAUGGGGUGCCUUGGCAACCAAUGUUUCCAAAGUUGCCACCUUGGGCAGCACCCAUAAAACCAUCUUCAGAUGACAGACACCAUCUCAUUGGAGCACUCAGGACACUCGAAAAUUCAAAUCUGAGAUGUUUAGCCAACGAACACAUCCAAACGACUUGAAUUUCUUGGGGACUCAGUUUUGGAUUAUCUCAUUACCAAGCAUUUCUAUUGUAAAUAUCCUGGGUUGUCACCAGAGCUGCUAACUGACAUGAGAUUGGCUUCUGUGAAUGAUGAUUGUUAUGCAUGAUCUGCAGUCAAGUGGGAACUGCACAAAGACAUCGUCCAUGCCUCACAAGAACUCCACAAGCACAUAGUUGAAACUAUUAACAAUUUUGAGAAGUUAUCAUCAGAAUCACUCGGACCAGCUCACAUGCAGCACACUCACACCAUGCAUGGGACCCACUCACACGAAACAAACAUGCAGAUCACUCGGUUGGGCAACACGACUAUAGCACAGCACACAUGCAGCACAGCACACAUGCAGCAGGAAGGCACUCGGACAGAAAGAACAUCACAUGGACCCACAGCCACUCAAACAUGCAAUCAUUCGGACACAUGCAUGGGACCAACCUGAACGUGCAGCAAUUUCAUUCGGACAGCACACAGCAACUGCUCUCACACCAGCUUACACAUGCUCACAUGCAGCACACAUGGGACCCACUCACACAAUCAGCUUUCGGACAGCAGGAACUGCAAUCACACGAUGCAACCAUGACAGCAGACCAUUCACAUUCGGUUGGGCAGCACUUUACAGCAGAUGGCCUCAUUCGGAUCACAUGCACACAUGAAAAGUGCAAACACAUCUGGACUCAACAAACCACACACAUGCAGAUCACUCGGAAGCUGCUGCAGCAAAGAAAAAGAAACUCACACAUGCAUGACAGCAGGAACAUUCACACACCCACUCACUCGGACCAUGCAGUGGAUUCACACCAGCUCACACGCAGAAAAGAACAGAACCAUGCACAUGCAGCAGCAGAUUCUAUUUCUUUCUUUCUUUCGUUUAAGCUGGACAGCAGGAGAUGAGUAUUUAAGGAGCUAGAGGCAGCAACACAAAGGGAGAGUUUUUUUUUCUCGGGCAGUAGUUAGUUUUCGAAGUUUGAUAGCUUAGCUUAAAGUUUUCUUUCAUGCUUUUCGUUCAGACAUAGGGGAGUUGAGUAGGAGUUCAGUGCGUGGAUAGCUUAGCUUAAAGUUUUUUUUAUGCUUUUCAUUCAGACUUUGAAGUUGUUUUCGGGAGCAGCAAGUUUCAGUUUUUGUUUUCUUAAUUUAUUUUCUGUUUAGAAGGAGCAGCAAGUUUCAGUUUUUGUUUUCUUAA